rnacentral:snRNA from 1 species
UUAUAUACCUGGCAAGGAAAACACCAUGAUCAUGAAGGUGGAUUUUCCCAGGGUGAGACCCAUCCAUUGCACUUCAGAUGUGCUGACCUCUGCGAUUUCACCGAAUGCAGGAAACUCAUCUGCAUAAUUUGUGGUAGUGGGAACUGUGUUUGCGCUUUGCUCU